rnacentral:misc_RNA from 1 species
GAUGAAUAACGUAGCGAAAUGCGAUAAGUAAUGUGAAUUGCAGAAUUCAGUGAAUCAUCGAAUCUUUGAACGCACCUUGCACCCUUUGGCAUUCCGAAGGGUAUGCUCGUUUGAGUGUCAUUGUACUCUCACACUUCCGAUCUUUGGAUUGGGAGCGGUGGACUUGGGUGUUGCUGCUUACUGUGGCUCACCUCAAAUCGAUUCGUGCACCUCUUGGUUGGACAUAGUACGGCGUGAUAAGUGUCUUCGCCGGCACCUCAGUAGAGGGUGGCUGAUCGGGAGCUCUGCUUCAAACCGUCCUCGGACAACAACUGACAACUUGACCUCAAAUCGAGUAGGACUACCCGCUGAACUUAAGCAUAUCAAUAAGCGGAGGA